rnacentral:rRNA from 1 species
GAUGAACGCUGGCGGCGUGCCUAAUACAUGCAAGUCGAGCGAACGGACGAGAAGCUUGCUUCUCUGAUGUUAGCGGCGGACGGGUGAGUAACACGUGGAUAACCUACCUAUAUGACUGGGAUAACUUCGGGAAACCGGAGCUAAUACCGGAUAAUAUUUUGAACCGCAUGGUUCAAAAGUGAAAGACGGUCUUGCUGUCACUUAUAGAUGGAUCCGCGCUGCAUUAGCUAGUUGGUAAGGUAACGGCUUACCAAGGCAACGAUGCAUAGCCGACCUGAGAGGGUGAUCGGCCACACUGGAACUGAGACACGGUCCAGACUCCUACGGGAGGCAGCAGUAGGGAAUCUUCCGCAAUGGGCGAAAGCCUGACGGAGCAACGCCGCGUGAGUGAUGAAGGUCUUCGGAUCGUAAAACUCUGUUAUUAGGGAAGAACAUAUGUGUAAGUAACUGUGCACAUCUUGACGGUACCUAAUCAGAAAGCCACGGCUAACUACGUG